AAUUACAUUCUGUCCCGAUAAGUUUAAUAAUUACAAAAAAUCCCUUAAAAUUGCUGAGCCGUGAUACUUUAGAAUGUUGUGAUACAUGGUAAAUGAUACAUAGUAACUUAAAACUGUUAAGAAAAAAUAGGGGAUAAAAACGGUAAAUUUAAAGCUGUUAAUAAAACAGCUUAAUUUGUGGUAACAGAUCAUUAAUCAGCAUUAAAUCAGCACUUAAUUGGAUAUUAAUUUCAAAAUUUGAAAAUCAAAGAUUGUAUCAGUUAUUUAGAAAACAAUUGGAGCUGCCGAAAUUUUUUUGUUGUUGCAGUGGGUUUUUGAAGAUGAAUACUUCGAUUUUGAUGAGACAUUCCGGAAUUUGGGUGAACGAAUUGCAGUAUGAAAAUUACAAAAUUGAUGGAAUCGUUGUUGGAGAUUCAAUUUCGUUUUCUAAUCUCAAAGCAGCAAUUGCGGCCGAGUUGGACAUUGAUGUAUCAAGGAAAGAAAUUGAAAUUCGAUACAUUGUAGAAGACAGGUCAGAUAUACAAGGAUAAAGCAACACUUGUAGAUGUGAUGACGAAAUAUAAGAUAAAGAACAACUUCAACUGCAAAGUGAAGAGGUCUGAUCAACAAAGGUAUGACAGUAUUUUGAUAUUUUAAUGUAUCAUUUGUUGUUUUAUAAUUUAAUUAGUACAUGAAAUAUUACUGUA